rnacentral:rRNA from 1 species
UACAGAGGGGGCAAGCGUUGUUCGGAAUCAUUGGGCGUAAAGGGCACGUAGGUGGUCGUGUAUGUCUCCCGUGAAAGCCCACGGCUCAACCGUGGUGUGUCGGGAGAAACUGCAGGACUUGAGGCUGGGAGGGGCUGGUGGAAUUCCCUGUGUAGCGGUGAAAUGCGUAGAGAUGGGGGAGAACACUCGUGGCGAAGGCGGCCAGCUAGACCAGUUCUGACACUGAGGCGCGACAGCGUGGGGAGCAAACAGG